rnacentral:lncRNA from 1 species
CCACUGCUUGUGGCAUGCCAGCCACACUGAGAUCUCAGCCCAACUUCUGUGUUACGCGAACGGGAGGCUAAAAUGGCCAGCGCGUCGCGCAUUUUUCGACGACAUCUGAAUCUGAUUAGAGGGCCCAGGCCUCCAGAACUUCAACUUCAACUUCAACUCGUCCUCGUCCGUCCAUUGCUUCAACAUUGACGUUCGGGGCUGACGGGCACUGGCUCCACACAAGCAACAAGCAGCAACAGAGAGUCAGUGGGCAC